AACGAACGCUGGCGGCAGGCUUAACACAUGCAAGUCGAACGCACCUUUCGGGGUGAGUGGCCGACGGGUGAGUAACGCGUGGGAAUCUACCCUUCUCUACGGGAUAGCUCCGGGAAACUGGAAUUAAUACCGUAUACGUCCUGAGGGAGAAAGAUUUAUCGGGGAAGGAUGAGCCCGCGUUGGAUUAGCUAGUUGGUGGGGUAAAGGCCUACCAAGGCGACGAUCCAUAGCUGGUCUAAGAGGAUGAUCAGCCACAUUGGGACUGAGACACGGCCCAAACUCCUACGGGAGGCAGCAGUGGGGAAUAUUGGACAAUGGGCGCAAGCCUGAUCCAGCCAUGCCGCGUGAGUGAUGAAGGCCCUAGGGUUGUAAAGCUCUUUCAGUGGUGACGAUAAUGACGGUACCCACAGAAGAAGCCCCGGCUAACUUCGUG
rnacentral:rRNA from 1 species